GACGAACGCUGGCGGCGUGCUUAACACAUGCAAGUCGAACGGAAAGGCCCUGCUUUUGUGGGGUGCUCGAGUGGCGAACGGGUGAGUAACACGUGAGUAACCUGCCCUUGACUUUGGGAUAACUUCAGGAAACUGGGGCUAAUACCGGAUAGGAGCUCCUGCUGCAUGGUGGGGGUUGGAAAGUUUCGGCGGUUGGGGAUGGACUCGCGGCUUAUCAGCUUGUUGGUGGGGUAGUGGCUUACCAAGGCUUUGACGAGUAGCCGGCCUGAGAGGGUGACCGGCCACAUUUGGACUGAGAUACAGCCCAGACUCCUACGGGAGGCAGCAGUGGAGAAUAUUGCACAAUGGGCGGAAGCCUGAUGCAGCAACGCCGCGUGCGGGAUGACGGCCUUCGGGUUGUAAACCGCUUUCGCCUGUGACGAAGCGUGAGUGACGGUAAUGGGUAAAGAAGCACCGGCUAACUACGUG
rnacentral:rRNA from 1 species